CGCCUUUUUUUAAACUCGGGCGCCUUCCGCUCCCCCUUUCCAGCCCGAUAUAUCCCCGCGGUGACUCAGAGGGAGGAAAAAAAAACAAAAAAACGCAUUUUUGGUAAACAGGACACAUCUGGCUGCCCGGGGCCGGGGAGGGGGGCUAAAUCCAGAUGUUUGGGGCCCGGCGCUGGGGCCGAUUUUAACCCACUUCUGCUCCGAAAAUGACUCAGCGGCCCGAAAAGCGUGGGAAAGCGGCCGUGCGGGCAACGAAGAAAACUUAAAAAAAGAAAAUAAAAAGGUGUCUUUUACCAAAAACGCGAGGUUUGGGUUCGGUCACCCGCGUGGCGGCCUUCCUGGCAGCUCGGGGCUUGCAAGGAAAAUGGGGGGAAAAGGGGUUUUUUUCUGUUUGCAACGGGACGGAGAGUGGGGUGCAACGCACCAGAGCGCCCGCGGUUGGUUGCAAGGGGAAAUUGGGGUGUUUUUCUGCAACGGGACGGAGAGUGGGGUGCAACGCCAAGGGGAAGGACUCGGCCGACGGAAACGGGACGAGGCUUGGUUUUAUUCCUCGCGUUUUUCCGCCCUUCGGGAGGCCUGGAGCCGUCACAGGACCUGGGAGAGACACCGAGGGCUGGUCAGUCCCCGGUCGGCCGAAAGGCCCGCAGUUAUUGCUUACUCGUCGCUGGCGCGUAGAGGCGGCCGCAGUUACCUUGAAGAGGGUGACGCCGGUGCUGUAGCAAAGGCUGAGGAGGAAGAGGAGGACGAAGGUCACGGCGGUCCAGAGGUUGGUGACGUCUUCCUCGCCCUCGGCCGGGGCGUCCUCGCCGAGCACGACGAAAACGCAGUCUGGGGGGAUUUGGGGGUAGGGGGGGAGGAGAGGAGGCGUCCGGGGGGCAACCGAGACCCCCGAUUGCACCCGUUUCCGUCACGCUCCCGCUCCGAAGAACUCGCUGUGCAACGGGGAAUUUUGGUGCAUGCAGCAAAACCCUCGAUUGCACCCGUUUUCUACCCAGUCCUGCUCCAAAGCUCGCUGCAAGCAGAGGGGCCAUGGGGAUGUUUGGUGCAUGCAGCAAAACCCUCGAUUGCACCCGUUUUCUACCC
rnacentral:lncRNA from 1 species